rnacentral:lncRNA from 1 species
UUAGUCGUAUUUUAAAAUAUUAUUUAGCACAUACGAUCUUAAACAUAGAGAGAGCGUAGAAAAAGCAAAUAGAAAGAAGUUGAACUCAUAUUACUUUGGAAGCUAAAAUGAAAUGUUGCAACUAUGAAAGAACCACGUAUAUAUAUGAGUGCUAUGGUUGACAGAAAACCUAAACAAAUGAAAGAUGGAAUGACACGUUACAAGAUACACUACUCUUUUUCACUUUCCCGACACCUGAAACACUAAACUGCUGGCUGAUGAACACGCACAUAAACAACAUUAUUUCCUGAACGAAAACAACGACUAGAGUAAUCCAGAAGAACCCUUGCAUGCAUGCAUGCAUGCAUGCAUUUUCAACGAUCUCAAGGGAAAGGAACAACACCCCCACCAACGCCGCUUCCAAUGCCGCUUCCAACGCCACCACCAACACCGCCACCAAUUCCACCACCGGUACCGCCGAGUCCUCCGAUUCCACCGAUGCCAGUAGUGCCGCCGAGGCCACCACCGAGGCCACCUCCGGCGCCAAAACCACCUCCUAUUCCAGCACCAGCUCCUCCAAAAGGUAGUCCAUUGCUCCCAAUUCCGGAAUAGCCACCGACUCCACCAUAGGUGAUGAAGUUCUUCUGGUCCUUGAGACCAGCAUCAGUGGGUGCGUUUCUGGCACUUGUGGCCACAGCCAAAGCAAGAACCAAGACCAAGAUACACAACUUAGCCAUGUCUCUCUCUCUCUCUCACUCUGUUUCACUCCCACACACUAGGAACACACAAUGAGUAGUUGCAGUCUCCUUUGGUUACUCUGAGUCUGUGUGGCAAAGAAUCUGGAAAGAUUGUUUUUUUAUAGGGGAGAAAGUUAACUAACGGGUGAGGGGCAGUUGAGCAUUGUAAAUGAAACUUUAAUGUCUUCACAGAGCCUUGCUGUC